GGUUGCAGCACCCAUAAAUGUGUGUGCGGCCGUUCGGCGGCCUGAAGGCGAGCCGGUGCCCCAGGACAGGAAGCUCCGGUUGGGUUCCCCCUCACCGGUGCUAGCAUCCGCUGGCAGCUGCCUGCACAUUCUGUCAAACAUCGAGAGUCAAAAUCCAUGGAAGCCAAUAGCCAGGCUCCUGCCAACAGUACCAAGCUUUGGACCAGACCCACCCUUUCCCCAGAAUGUGAGCUUCCCAGUUCCUCAGAAUGUGCAUUAUCGAUUACUUGAUGGCCACAGCUGGAAAAAGCUCACAGGGAGACUUCCAAAGG